rnacentral:rRNA from 1 species
UAAAGCCAAAGAUCCUCCUGGCCGUCGCACGCAUUUCGAGGACACGAAGCCCCACUACGAAAGUAGCUUUACUAUUACUUUUCUGACCCCACGAAAGCUAAGAAACAAACUGGGAUUAGAUACCCCACUAUGCUUAGCCCUAAAUCUAGAUGUAACCCUUACAAACACAUCCGCCAGGGUACUACAAGCGCUAGCUUAAAACCCAAAGGACUUGACGGUGUCUCAGACCCACCUAGAGGAGCCUGUUCUAGAACCGAUAAUCCCCGUUUAACCUCACCACCCCUUGCUUUCCCCGCCUAUAUACCGCCGUCGCAAGCUUACCCUGUGAAGGUCCUACAGUAAGCAAAAUGGAUAUAUUCAAAAACGUCAGGUCGAGGUGUAGCUUACGAGGUGGAAAGAAAUGGGCUACAUUUUCUUUAUCAGAAUAACACGAAUGGCACCAUGAAACUGAUGCCUGAAGGUGGAUUUAGCAGUAAAAAACAAAUAGAGAGUCUUUUUGAAUCAGGCUCUGAGACGCGCACACACCGCCCGUCACUC